AGUGGGAGCUGCACAGCAAUGGGCUUUAUUGACAUUUUAAUAUAUUUACCUGCUCCACGGCUGGCCACAGCUUCCUCAGCACUCUCCAGCGCUGAGAUAACAAUUCCUUGCUGCACUUCGGGAUGCUCCCAGCAUGAUCCCCCCCGAGCACUGAGUGCAGCUGCAGGUCCCCAGGUGCCCGGUCUCUGCUGUGCCACAGGGAGUGGAAAGGAGAAACAGGAAAAGUUGUCAGGGAAGGAGAGGAAAACAGAGCACGUCUGUGGUGCUUCAUAUGGAUCCACGCUGCUCCUAUGUGAUCCUGAGUGUGACAGAGAGGCCAUAGGAAUGCGGCUGUGAUGGGAUGUGAGAGCCUUUCCCGGGAGCUGCUCAGCUGCUGCACAGAGCUGCUCAUGGCUCAUCCUCAGCCAGGAAAAGUGAACAGAAAUCAAAACCUGAGCCCACGCACAAGGUGGACCUUAGGUGUGAUGGCUCAAGCCCGGCUGCCUCACCCAAGCCCUCCUUUACUUUAGGCCAGCACUCGUUUUAGGCUUUGUAGGGCUUUUAGGCCCUGUCUAGAAUCAAUCAGCGCUUUCCCUCUCUGAUUCCCAAAUGAGUCAAUUCGCCUUUUGGACCAGGAAGAAACACCUCUGGCCCUUGGCCACGGCUUUCUCCUUCCCCGACACCCCUCUGGCCCCACCACCACCGCUGCAGCACCACACAUUAUGGGUCCCAGCAGCACAUCGCAGACAUGGCCUCACGCAGGGCGCGAUGGGAUGAGGUACGUCAUGGGCAGGCACCGCUUCCAGCACGGCAACGCAGCCACUUCCCCCCAUUGUGUGUCCCCUCCUUGGGCUGCUUGGCCAAUCUGCAGUCUCCCAUCACCUCCCUCCCACCACCACCGGCUGUUCCUCCUCUUCAGAAUGCUUCACUUCCGCCGCCCUGCUCGCAGCUCACCCUGUGCUGCUCUGUCCUCCCCAUCUGCUGGGGGGCCUUGGGUGAGAGAGAUGCCGAGGGGUCCCUCCCCCCUGAGCUAUGCUGGUGGGACAGCUGGGAUGUAUCCUAGCAGAGGGGAUCACGAUGGUGGACAUCCAGAACCUCCCACAAUACUACACACCCACGCCUAUGGCAAUGCUUGGUGCUGUUGGUGCUCCACAACGCCGUUGCUGCAUGGCACCGCUGUGUAGGUCAGUAGGGUCUCCAUGUGCCCCUUUGCUCUGUUUGAGUGCCCAUUCUCAAGGCUUGGCCGCAGACGCGUGCAUCUCGCCCAGAGCCUCAGGGUGCUGCUGGAUGAGGAGGGUUCCCAACAAACCAUCACUUACUUGGAGGGGAUGCACCGAGCGGGGAGCUCUCCUUGCACACCCCUAUUCUGGAGGAGGUUGUACUGCGGUUACCAUUCCUCCAUCUCGCUCGCCGAGGCACGAAUUCACGCACGUCCCCUAUUUCUGCAAACGACAAUAUGGCAGAACACAGAGGGGAAUACAAUUCUUUCCUAUGGCCGAGUCCAACCUCGGCGCGGGGCUGCCGCUUCGGGAGGUCGUUACCUAUCUUUGUUCUUGGCUAUCCUGUUUCUACCCACGAGACCGCGGAGCCUCCACAGCUCAGCUCCGACGGCCAAGAGCCGAGCGUGGGCUUCCUCUCCCGCGACACCUCGCUGCCACUCGGCAAACAAUCGCUGGGCGUGCCGCAUCCUCUUCCAGCGCGGCUCCAGAGCCUCCCGGCC
ensembl:lncRNA